rnacentral:rRNA from 1 species
GAUCUCUCCGCCYCGAAACUCUCAAGGGAAAKGGAUCGAAGCCCGUUGGGCUUUGCAAGGCCAAGGGCCGUCACCGCUUAUGCGGUGUAGGUUCAACGUUUUGGUGGCUGGUGAAACACUUCAGGUUUCUAGGUAUUAUCAUAAGGUAUCUACACCUGAAUAAAAUAGGGUGUAAGAAGCGAACGCAGGGAACUGAAACAUCUAAGUACCUGCAGGAAAGGACAUCAACCGAGACUCCGCAAGUAGUGGCGAGCGAACGCGGACCAGGCCAGUGGCAAUGAGUGUUAAAGUGGAAGAACCUGGAAAGGUUUGCCGUAGAGGGUGAUAGCCCCGUACGCGUAGAUACACUUAUUGUCCUAGAGUAGGGCGGGACACGUGAAAUCCUGUUUGAACAUGGGGCGACCACGCUCCAAGCCUAAGUACUCGUGCAUGACCGAUAGCGAACCAGUACCGUGAGGGAAAGGUGAAAAGCACCCCGACAAGGGGAGUGAAAUAGAACCUGAAACUGGAUGCCUACAAACAGUCGGAGCCCGCAAGGGUGACGGCGUACCUUUUGUAUAAUGGGUCAACGACUUAGUGUAACAAGCAAGCUUAAGCCGGUAGGUGUAGGCGAAGCGAAAGCGAGUCUGAAUAGGGCGAUUUAGUUUGUUGCAUUAGACCCGAAACCGAGUGAUCUAGCCAUGAGCAGGUUGAAGGUUGGGUAACACCAACUGGAGGACCGAACCCGCAUCUGUUGCAAUAGAUUGGGAUGACUUGUGGCUAGGGGUGAAAGGCCAAUCAAACUCGGAAAUAGCUGGUUCUCCGCGAAAUCUAUUUAGGUAGAGCGUCGAGCGAAUACUCCCGGGGGUAGAGCACUGGAUGGGCUAUGGGGACUCACCGUCUUACUGAUCCUAACCAAACUCCGAAUACCGGGAAGUACUACUCGGCAGACACACGGCGGGUGCUAACGUCCGUCGUGAAAAGGGCAACAACCCUAACCUCCAGCUAAGGUCCCCAAGUCAUGGCUAAGUGGGAAAGGAUGUGAGGAUCCCAAAACAACCAGGAUGUUGGCUUAGAAGCAGCCAUCAUUUAAAGAAAGCGUAACAGCUCACUGGUCUAGUCAAGGGUCUUUGCGCCGAAAAUGUAACGGGGCUAAAGCCAUGCACCGAAGCUGAGGAUUUGCGAGCAAUCGCAAGUGGUAGCGGAGCGUUCCGUAAGCCUGUGAAGGGGUACCUGUGAGGGGCCCUGGAGGUAUCGGAAGUGCGAAUGUUGACAUGAGUAACGAUAAAGAGGGUGAGAGACCCUCUCGCCGAAAGACCAAGGGUUCCUGCUUAAAGUUAAUCUGAGCAGGGUUAGCCGGCCCCUAAGACGAGGCGGACACGCGUAGUCGAUGGGAACCACGUUAAUAUUCGUGGGCCUGGUGGUAGUGACGGAUUGCUUAACUUGUUCACACUUAUUGGAUUGUGUGGGCGGGGACGCGGUUCCAGGAAAUAGCUCCACCGUAUAGACCGUACCCGAAACCGACACAGGUGGUCAGGUAGAGUAUACCAAGGCGCUUGAGAGAAUUAUGUUGAAGGAACUCGGCAAAUUGCACGCGUAACUUCGGAAGAAGCGUGACCCUUAUUUACGCAAGUAUGUGAGGGUGGCACAGACCAGGGGGUAGCGACUGUUUACCAAAAACACAGGGUUCUGCGAAGUCGCAAGACGACGUAUAGGGUCUGACGCCUGCCCGGUGCUGGAAGGUUAAGAGGAGGGGUGCAAGCUCUGAAUCGAAGCCCCAGUAAACGGCGGCCGUAACUAUAACGGUCCUAAGGUAGCGAAAUUCCUUGUCGGGUAAGUUCCGACCUGCACGAAUGGCGUAACGACUUCCCCGCUGUCUCCAACAUAGAUUCAGUGAAAUUGAAUUCCCCGUGAAGAUGCGGGGUUUCCUGCGGUCAGACGGAAAGACCCCGUGCACCUUUACUAUAGCUUUACACUGGCAUUCGUGUCGGCAUGUGUAGGAUAGGUGGUAGGCUUUGAAGCAGGGACGCCAGUUCUUGUGGAGCCAUCCUUGAAAUACCACCCUUAUCGUCAUGGAUGUCUAACCGCGGUCCGUUAUCCGGAUCCGGGACAGUGUAUGGUGGGUAGUUUGACUGGGGCGGUCGCCUCCGAAAGAGUAACGGAGGCGCGCGAUGGUGGGCUCAGACCGGUCGGAAAUCGGUCGUCGAGUGCAAUGGCAUAAGCCCGCCUGACUGCGAGACUGACAAGUCGAGCAGAGACGAAAGUCGGUCAUAGUGAUCCGGUGGUCCCGCGUGGAAGGGCCAUCGCUCAACGGAUAAAAGGUACGCCGGGGAUAACAGGCUGAUGACCCCCAAGAGUCCAUAUCGA